rnacentral:rRNA from 1 species
AAGCGGAGGAAAAGAAACUAACAAGGAUUCCCCUAGUAGCGGCGAGUGAAGCGGGAAGAGCUCAAAUUUGAAAUCUGGCGUCCUUCGGGCGUCCGAGUUGUAAUCUAUAGAAGCGUUUUCCGCGCUGGACCGUGUCUAAGUCCCUUGGAACAGGGUAUCAAAGAGGGUGAUAAUCCCGUACUUGACACGACCACCAGUGCUCUGUGAUACGUUCUCUACGAGUCGAGUUGUUUGGGAAUGCAGCUCAAAAUGGGUGGUAAAUUCCAUCUAAAGCUAAAUAUUGGCGAGAGACCGAUAGCGAACAAGUACCGUGAGGGAAAGAUGAAAAGCACUUUGGAAAGAGAGUUAAACAGUACGUGAAAUUGUUGAAAGGGAAACGAUUGAAGUCAGUCGUGUUCAUUGGACUCAGCCAGUUCUUCUGGUCUAUUUCCUUUGAACGGGUCAACAUCAGUUUUGUCCGGUGGAUAAAGGUAUUAGGAAUGUGGCUCUUUCGGGAGUGUUAUAGCCUAGUAUUGCAUACACUGGGGGAGACUGAGGACUGCAGCUCGCCUUUUGGCCGGGGUUCGCCCACGUUCGAGCUUAGGAUGUUGACAUAAUGGCUUUAAACGACCCGUCUUG